rnacentral:rRNA from 1 species
GACGAACGCUGGCGGCGUGCUUAACACAUGCAAGUCGAACGGAAAGGCCCUGCUUUUGUGGGGUGCUCGAGUGGCGAACGGGUGAGUAACACGUGGGUAACCUGCCCUUGACUUUGGGAUAACUUCAGGAAACUGGGGCUAAUACCGGAUAGGAGCUCCUGCUGCAUGGUGGGGGUUGGAAAGUUUCGGCGGUUGGGGAUGGACUCGCGGCUUAUCAGCUUGUUGGUGGGGUAGUGGCUUACCAAGGCUUUGACGGGUAGCCGGCCUGAGAGGGUGACCGGCCACAUUGGGACUGAGAUACGGCCCAGACUCCUACGGGAGGCAGCAGUGGGGAAUAUUGCACAAUGGGCGGAAGCCUGAUGCAGCAACGCCGCGUGCGGGAUGACGGCCUUCGGGUUGUAAACCGCUUUCGCCUGUGACGAAGCGUGAGUGACGGUAAUGGGUAAGGAAGCACCGGCUAACUACGUG